AGCCAAGAAAACCUAACACACCACCUCCGCCCUCCCUCCCUCCUCUCCACGCAUCCAACAGCCGCCGCCUCUGCCGGCCCCAAAUUAACCAUCGCCGAUGUGCCUGUCUAACGCGAUGCAAGCUUGCCAAUCCCACCGUCGCCCUCUAUCUUCCCAUCACCCAGGGACAGAUUGAGCCAGGGUGUUGCGAUUCUCACCAGCAAGUGCAAAGAUUCAGGCAGCAGAGCUUCUAUUCCGAUCGGAUCUGGCAGCAGCGCGACCCUGUUCCCUUCCUGUGAUGCCACUCUUGGAGAGAGCGAGUGCCUGUAUGUGCGGCGCAACUCUCGAGUGGUGGCACCGUCGACCUUGCUUCAACGCUCUUAAUAGUGGGCUACGCACUGAUGUGCUUAGGCUUGGGGAUUACUUACAUGCACUGCCUAUCUCUGCAUAAUUUUUAGGUUUUGUUGCAGACUGCAUUAGAUAAACAUGAUGGAAGUAAUUCUUGGUUGCAGUCAAUAUUUCUCUUUGGAUAAAUUUCAUUUGUGUUGCAUCUCAUUAAUCUUGUCAAAACUUAAAUAUCGUGUUUUCUUUUCCUGCUGUAUUUGUCGAGCUUUACAAUACCAAUGCUGAUUUCUUGACAUAGGCAACAAUUUACGUAGUAUUGUUUUUCUUUAUAUUCUGAUUCAUCUGUUUAACUGUAGCUAAUCACUUCACCAUUUUAUUAUCCUGGAAACAGUGAGGUUUCCCUGCUUGUAAGCUACUUAUGAACUCAACCUAUUUCCUAGAUAAAUUAUUAUUUAAGUUGGCAAAUUUGUAUCUAAAGCUGCAAAUAAUUCCCUUUGUGAUUUUAGUUUUGCAGCUCCAUACUUCCUAUAAUCAGAUAGAAAACAUUCAGAUUAAUUAACCUUAACUUGAUAGUCAAUUUAUGUUUCUUUUAGAUUAAUUAUCAUUCGUGGAUGUGCAGAGCUGAUUUUUUCUUCAUAGUAAAUUGUAUGUGCAAAUAUGUAGUAAUGAAAUCGUUCUCUAGCUGCGAAAUAACCCUUGAACAUUGUAGUUGUCAUCUAUUUUACCUGCCCAAAGCUUAAUUUAUGACUGCAAUCUGACAAACUCACAAUAUUAUUAGGUUGUGGAGUAAGAUAUGACCAGUGUGCCAUUAUUGUAUUCUGCAGUUUUUCAAAAUCUAGAUAUGACCUACUAUUCUUUGCUUGCUUUUCAGAUUUCUGAAAAUGGACAUGCUAGGGGUGUUGUAUAGGCCAUUUGUGCAGCUUGUCUCCAUCUAAAGAUCAAUUUUCAUUUCAAAGAUGUAUAAAGCUUAGAAGUGUUUAAGCUGGAGGUAGUAAGUUGUACAAAUGUUUCCACAUAAGUCUAAAAGAACGCACCUUGCCAUUUGGGACCGAGAGGACUCCUGCUGGUAAUCUUGGACGAGCAACAGAGGCUGAUUUGGUGUUGCUGGAGUAACUUAUGUAAUGUUGGAAGAGAACAUAUGGAAGGAAGGGAAGUCAUAAUGCCCAGGAGAAAUUUUGACAAGUGCACAGAACGAUCAUCCAUGCUUUCAGGAAGGGAAUCGGUGGAUAAACAAUAUUGGAGAAAUGCUUGACGAAGGAGCAUCAUUCCACUGAGGCGGCUGCAUUGCUUAUUUGCUUAUUUACGGCAUGGAGAGACAAUUGUUGGCUGUAUGAAUUAGUCUUGUUUUUAGAUUGCUUCAACAUCAAUGUGUGUGUGUAUAUAUAUAUAAACAUAUUUGAUCAAAUGGUUGUAAAUCUAUAAUUGGAAAUGCAAUAAAGAAAUGUCACUAUUUUUACCAUUCAA